CCCUUAGAUGUUCUGGGCCGCACACGCGCUACACUGAAGGAGGCAGCGUGUACUCCUGGAUCGAAAGAUUUGGGUAACCCGCGAAUCUCCUUCGUGCUAGGGAUUGAGGUUUGCAAUUAUCCUUCAUGAACGAGGAAUUCCCAGUAAGUGCAAGUCAUAAGCUUGCGCUGACUACGUCCCUGCCCUUUGUACACACCGCCCGUCGCUACUACCGAUUGAAUGAUUUAGUGAGGACUUCGGACAGGGACCGAUGCGGCUUUCGGGCUGCGUCGGUAUUCUGGAAAGAUGUCCAAACUGUAUCAUUUAGAGGAAGUAAAAGUCGUAACA
rnacentral:rRNA from 1 species